CCUACGGGAGGCAGCAGUAGGGAAUAUUGCUCAAUGGGGGCAACCCUGAAGCAGCAACGCCGCGUGGAGGAUGAAGGUUUUCGGGUUGUAAACUCCUUUUGUUAGAGACGAUAAUGACGGUAUCUAACGAAUAAGCACCGGCUAACUCCGUGCCAGCAGCCGCGGUAAUACGGAGGGUGCAAGCGUUGCUCGGAGUCACUGGGCGGAAAGAGCGCGUAGGCGGGAUAGCAAGUCAGAUGUGAAAUCCUAUGGCUUAACCAUAGAACUGCAUUUGAAACUGUUGUUCUAGAGUAUGGGAGAGGUAGGUGGAAUUCUUGGUGUAGGGGUAAAAUCCGUAGAGAUCAAGAGGAAUACUCAUUGCGAAGGCGAUCUGCUAGAACAUAACUGACGCUGAUGCGCGAAAGCGUGGGGAGCAAACAGGAUUAGAUACCCUUGUAGUC
rnacentral:rRNA from 1 species